GACAGAGGGUGCAAACGUUGCUCGGAAUCACUGGGCGUAAAGGGCGUGUAGGCGGGAAGGAAAGUCAGAUGUGAAAUCCCUGGGCUCAACCCAGGAACUGCAUUUGAAACUCCCUUUCUUGAGUACCGGAGAGGAAGGUGGAAUUCCUGGUGUAGAGGUGAAAUUCGUAGAUAUCAGGAGGAACACCAGUGGCGAAGGCGGCUUUCUGGACGGUAACUGACGCUGAGACGCGAAAGCGUGGGAGCAAACAGG
rnacentral:rRNA from 1 species